rnacentral:tRNA from 1 species
GCCUUCGUCAAGGCGAUGGCCCGCCCCUCCUGAGCACCGCUCUCCUAAAGCGGGUGUCGCAGGUCCGAAUCCUGCCGGGGGGCG